AUUGAACGCUGGCGGAAUGCUUUACACAUGCAAGUCGAACGGUAGAGGGGGCAACCCCUCGAGAGUGGCGAACGGGUGAGUAAUAUAUCGGAACGUGCCCAGUCGUGGGGGAUAACGUAGCGAAAGUUACGCUAAUACCGCAUACGAUCUAAGGAUGAAAGCGGGGGAUCGCAAGACCUCGCGCGAUUGGAGCGGCCGAUAUCAGAUUAGGUAGUUGGUGGGGUAAAGGCUCACCAAGCCAACGAUCUGUAGCUGGUCUGAGAGGACGACCAGCCACACGGGGACUGAGACACGGCCCAGACUCCUACGGGGGGCAGCAGUGGGGAAUUUUGGACAAUGGGCGCAAGCCUGAUCCAGCCAUGCCGCGUGCAGGAUGAAGGCCUUCGGGUUGUAAACUGCUUUUGUACGGAACGAAAAGACUCUUUCUAAUAAAGAGGGUCCAUGACGGUACCGUAAGAAUAAGCACCGGCUAACUACGUGCCAGCCGCCGCCGUAA
rnacentral:rRNA from 1 species